GACGAACGCUGGCGGCGUGCUUAGCACAUGCAAGUCGAACGGAAAGGCCCUGCUUUUGUGGGGUGCUCGAGUGGCGAACGGGUGAGUAACACGUGAGUAACCUGCCCUUGACUUUGGGAUAACUUCAGGAAACUGGGGCUAAUACCGGAUAGGAGCUCCUGCUGCAUGGUGGGGGUUGGAAAGUUUCGGCGGUUGGGGAUGGACUCGCGGCUUAUCAGCUUGUUGGUGGGGUAGUGGCUUACCAAGGCUUUGACGGGUAGCCGGCCUGAGAGGGUGACCGGCCACAUUGGGACUGAGAUACGGCCCAGACUCCUACGGGAGACAGCAGUGGGGAAUAUUGCACAAUGGGCGGAAGCCUGAUGCAGCAACGCCGCGUGCGGGAUGACGGCCUUCGGGUUGUAAACCGCUUUCGCCUGUGACGAAGCGUGAGUGACGGUAAUGGGUAAAGAAGCACCGGCUAACUACGUG
rnacentral:rRNA from 1 species